UUCCCUCCGUUCGUGUGCACUGUUUGUGCCUCUCGCCGAGUUCUCCUCGCUGUCUCUCUUCUCCCCUCUAUUCGUCUCCGUUACACGCUGGCGGCGACCUGAACAUUUACCUGGCGAACGCCGGAAUCGCACGAGGGAACACGAAAUCGGCCGACGAUUUUACCCUGCUACCGUUAACUUCUAAAAUUUCGUCGACCGCUUCCAACGUGUCCCUGUUGUUGGCCGGAGAACCUGCAAUACAUUUGGAACAAUUCCCAUUAUUAAAAAAAUAUAAUGUUACAGUGCAUAUGUGUAUACUACAACUACAAUGUAUCAGAAUUUGAAUCACAGUAGAGAGAGAGAGAGAGAGAGAGAGAGAGAAGUAUGAUAUAAAAGAACGAGUCUAAGUAGAAAAAGAUGAUACACGAACAGACAAUAGAUACAGACUAUACAGGACGAACGGACUAGCCAAUUCGUUUGUAUGUCAAUGAUUACACAUGAUAGCAUCCUCGAGGAAAAGACACGAGAAACAAAAGAGAGAAAGGGUUUCACAGUUCACGCCUACGUGCUUGACAAGCAGCUUUGCUGACGCUCAUUAAACUGCAUGUAGCUGAUGCUAAUUAAAAAAGGAAGAGAGAGAGAAAAAAAAGGGAAAGAAAAUAAAAGAAAAAGAAAAUGUUUUUUAACUUUACAACGAUAAAUAAACAGCAGAAGUUUGUUAAUG